rnacentral:rRNA from 1 species
AUUGAACGCUGGCGGCAGGCCUAACACAUGCAAGUCGAACGAGUGGCGGACGGGUGAGUAAUGUCUGGGAAACUGCCUGAUGGAGGGGGAUAACUACUGGAAACGGUAGCUAAUACCGCAUACCAUCGGAUGUGCCCAGAUGGGAUUAGCUAGUCGGUGGGGUAAAGGCUCACCUAGGCGACGAUCCCUAGCUGGUCUGAGAGGAUGACCAGCAACACUGGAACUGAGACACGGUCCAGACUACUACGGGAGGCAGAAGUGGGGAAUAUUGAACAAUGGGCGCAAGCCUGAUGCAGCCAUGCCGCGUGUAUGAAGAAGGCCUUCGGGUUGUAAAGGACUUUCAGCGGGGAGGCGUUACCCUCAGAAGAAGCACCGGCUAACUACGUGCCAGCAGCCGCGGUAAUAC